GACGAACGCUGGCGGCGUGCCUAAUACAUGCAAGUAGAACGCAGUUGCGAACGGGUGAGUAACGCGUAGGUAACUGCCUCAUAGCGGGGGAUAACUAUUGGAAACGCUAGCUACUACCGCAUACUGUGAGAUGGACCUUCGUUGUAGUAGUUAGUUGGUGAAGUAAACGCUCAACAAGGCGACGAUACAUAGCCGACGUGAGGGGGGGAUCGGACAAACGGGCACAGAGACACAGCCCAGACUCCUACGGGAGGCAGCAGUAGGGAAACUUCAGAAAUGGACGGAAGUCUGACCGAGCAACGCUGCGUGAGUGAAGGAGGUUUGCGGAUCGUAAAGCUCUGUUGUUAAAGAAGGGGUAACUAACCAGAAAGGGACGGCUAACUACGUGCCAGCAGCCGCGGUAAUUC
rnacentral:rRNA from 1 species